CAGAUGGCGACCGGCGCACGGGUGAGUAACACGUAUCCAACCUGCCGCUUACUCGGGGAUAGCCUUUCGAAAGAAAGAUUAAUACCCGAUGGUAUAAAGAGUUCGCAUGUUCUCUUUAUUAAAGAAUUUCGGUAAGCGAUGGGGAUGCGUUCCAUUAGAUAGUUGGCGGGGUAACGGCCCACCAAGUCUACGAUGGAUAGGGGUUCUGAGAGGAAGGUCCCCCCACAUUGGAACUGAGACACGGUCCAAACUCCUACGGGAGGCAGCAGUGAGGAAUAUUGGUCAAUGGACGAGAGUCUGAACCAGCCAAGUCGCGUGCAGGAAGAAUUGUCCUAUGGAUUGUAAACUGUCUUUUGCGAGGGGAAUAAAGUGCAUCACGUGUGAUGUUUUGUAUGUACUCUGCGAAUAAGGAUCGGCUAACUCCGUGCCAGCCGCCGC
rnacentral:rRNA from 1 species